rnacentral:rRNA from 1 species
UGAGUAACCUGCCCUUAACUCUGGGAUAAGCCUGGGAAACUGGGUCUAAUACCGGAUAUGACUCCUCAUCGCAUGGUGGGGGGUGGAAAGCUUUAUUGUGGUUUUGGAUGGACUCGCGGCCUAUCAGCUUGUUGGUGAGGUAAUGGCUCACCAAGGCGACGACGGGUAGCCGGCCUGAGAGGGUGACCGGCCACACUGGGACUGAGACACGGCCCAGACUCCGUACGGGAGGCA